rnacentral:sRNA from 1 species
UGAUGUUUUCCUUUCCAGCUGUUGCCUAGUUUCCUGGUAUUAAGGAGAAUCAACUCUCUGGAUAAAUGUGGUAAAUAUGGCCCAUAGUCCCACCUUUCUACAGGCAUUUUUCACACCUGGAGCAGCCAGAGGAUGCAUGAGUGGCUCUUCGGAAGCCUUCUCCUGCCACAGCACACACCCACACAUGCGAGCCUCCCGGGUACUGUCAUCCUGAAUUCUGAGACCAUCCAGCGCUUCCUUUAGUUUUGCCCUAAUACCGUUGACUUUUGUUUACUGAAGAGUGUGCUGGAGGCAGGACAAGGGACAUGGAAGGCUGCAAUUUAAGAGUCUAAAAGGUUUUAGAACCCUGAAGGAGGUUUAACAAGCUGAAUUGAAGAAUAAGACCUUUUUCAACUGGAGAGAAUUUACAUGAUUGCAUUAUUGUUAAAAUUAACAUCUUAUCUAUUAAAAGCAUUUGUAGAUUG